UUAUCUACCUACUGGUACGGGACAACAGUUGGAAACGACUGCUAAUACCGUAUAAGCUGGUAACGGGAAAGGGGGCCUCUUCUUGAAAGCUCUCGCCAGUAGAUGAGUCCGCGUUUCAUUAGCUAGACGGUGGGGUAACGGCCUACCGUGGCAACGAUGAAUAGCAGGCCUGAGAGGGUGGCCUGCCACACUGGGACUGGAACACGGCCCAGACUCCUACGGGAGGCAGCAGUGGGGAAUAUUGCGCAAUGGACGAAAGUCUGACGCAGCGACGCCGCGUGGAGGAUGAAGGUUUUCGGAUCGUAAACUCCUGUCAAGAGGGAAGAAACCUAUCGAAAUUAAUACUUUCGGUAAUUGACGGUACCUCUAGAGGAAGCACCGGCUAAUUCAGUGCCAGCAGCCGC
rnacentral:rRNA from 1 species